UUUGGAGAUAAAUGUCUCACUGAUUCUUAUCCAUCCGUGUCCGUUAAUACUACCAGCUGGAUUUUUUUUUUUUUUUUAAAGGGGGAUGAAGAUGCUGCUGGAGUUGCUGCUCCUCAUCAACAUUUCCCAGUAUGCCCUGGCUGUGGUGGUGGAGGUGAAUGAGGGGGAAAGAUCUGUCCUGCUGCCCUGUCAGUACUCAGGUAUUACACCUGAGGACCCCACAAUGAUGUGGACUCGCAAUGAUCUUGAUCCCAACUCUGUCCACCUACAGCGAGAUGGAAGAGAUGACCUUAGAGGGCAAAACCAGCGCUACAGCAGGCGCACAUCGAUGAGGCGUGAUGCUCUGAACACUUUAGACUUCAGCCUCACUCUGAGAAAACCACAACUGACCGACAGCGGCAACUACACCUGCUCCAUCAGUUUUGGAAGAGAAGAGCUGAGACUGACAGUUAUACAGCUACAGGUCAAAGACCAGCAGGUGGAGAUGAAGGUGAAUGAAGGCUUAGAGUUUGUCAUCCUGCCCUGCAAAACAAAACCUUACCUGCCUGAGGACACCACAGUGGAGUGGACUCGCUCUGACCCAGAACUCAUGAUGGUCCAUGUGUAUGCAAAUGAAGGCGACCAACUUAUUGACCAGGACGGCCUUUACAGAGACCGAACAACAGUGAACGAAGACCUGCUGAGAACUGGAGACCUCAGUCUGACCCUGAAAAAACCCACAGAGAGAGACAGUGGAGGAUACAUCUGCACCAUCUACAGGGACAAAGACAUCCUGAGACAGAAAGUAGAGCUGCAGGUCAAAGAGCCAUUCCCAUCUUGGGCCAUAGCUCUCCCAAUUCUUCUGGUUCUUCUUGUGGUUUCUGGAGGUCUUUUAUUUCAUUUCCGGCACUAUUUCAUGUCAGUUUACCAGGUGGUGGUGGAUUCAGGGGUGGAGUCUGUCCAGUUGCCCUGCAAAGGCAUACUUCACCUCCCCAAAGAUGCUAAAGUGGAGUGGAUGGACAACAAUGACAAGAUAGUCCACGUGUAUAUGAAUGGCUCUGACGAACCUGAACAACAGGAUGAGUUUUACACAGAUCGAACGAAGAUGAAUGAAGACCUGUUGAAAACUGGAGACUUCAGCCUGACCUUGAAAUACCCCACAGUCACAAACAGCUACACCUGCACCGUCUACAGCAGGGAGGGAAAGAUUCUGCUGAAGAAACAAGUGGUGCUCACUGUUAUAGUCCCCCAGGUGGUGGUGGAUUCAGGGGUGGAGUCUGUCCUGUUGGACUGUACAACCACACUUAAGUUACGUGAAGGUGCUACAGUGGAGUGGAGAGACGCUUACAGGAAGGUCCAUGUGUAUCAGGAUGGCUCUAGUAAGCCAGAGAAACAGGAUCAGGUUUACAGAGGCCGAACAGAGAUGAAUAAAGAUGCGCUGAGGACUGGAGACCUCAGUCUGACCCUGAGAUACCCCACAGUCACAAACUCUUACACCUGCACCCUCUAUGACAGGGAUGGAGACAUCCUGCUGAAGAAACUAGUGGUGCUCAAUGUCAGAGUCCACCAGGUGGCGGUGGAUUCAGGGGUUGUGUCUGUCCAACUGCCCUGUGAAACCACACUUGAGUUGCCUCAUGAUGCUAAAGUGGAGUGGAGAGACAUUUACAAGAAGGCCCAUGUGUAUGAGGAUGGCUCUGAUAAACCAGAUAAACAAGAUCAGGAUUACAGAGGCCGGACAGAGGUGAAUGAAGACCUGCUGACAACUGGAGACCUCAGUCUGACCCUGCACUACCCCACAGAGAGAGACACACAAGUCUACACCUGCACCGUCUACAGCAAAGAGGGAAAAAUCCUGUUCAAGAAAGCAGUUAAUCUGAAAGUCAAUGUCUGUCAGGUGGAGGUGGAGGAGGGGGAGGAGUCUGUUUGUCUGCCAUUUAAAACUACACAAAACCUGCCUGAAGAUGUUGUAGUUGCAUGGCAAUCUGAUGAAAUGAUGGUCCACCUGUAUGAGAACGGCUCUGACAAGCUUGAAGAACAGGACCAGGUUUACAGAGACCGAACGAAGUUGAAUAAGGACCUGCUGAAAACUGGAGACGUCAGUCUGAUCCUGAAACACCCCACAGAUGAUGACAAUGGAGAAUACAGCUGUGAAGUCAGCAACAGGGAUGAUAACCGCACAAACAGAAUUUGGAGACACAAAAUUGUGCUGCUCAAAGUCAAAGUCCCCCUGGUGGAGGUGGAGUCAGGGGUGGAGUAUGUCCGUCUGCUAUGCCACACCACACUUCACCUGCCUGAAGAUGCCAAAGUGGAGUGGACGGACAAUUACACAGAUGCUGAGAUCAGCAACAGGAAGGUCCAUGUGUAUGAGAACGGCUCUGACCAGCCUGAAGAACAGGACCAGGUUUACAAAGACCGAACGAAGAUGAAUGAAGACCUGCUGACAACUGGAGACCUCAGUCUGACCCUGAAAUACCCCACAGGUGGAGACAGCAGGACCUACACCUGCACCGUCUACAGCGUGGAGGGAAACAUCCUGCGGAAGAGACAAGUGGAGCUGAAAGUCGGAGUCUGUCAGGUGGAGGUGGAGGAGGGGGCGGAGUCUGUCCAGCUGCCCUUCAAAACCACAAAAAACCUGCCUGAAGAUGCUGAUGUGGAGUGGAGAGACAGUUCAAACAGGAAGGUUCACGUAUAUGAGAACGCCUCUGACCGUCCUGCAAAACAGAACCAGUUUUACAGAGGUCGAACAAAGAGGAAUGAAGACCUGCUGAGAACUCGAGACCUCACUCUGACCCUGAAAUACCCCACAGAUGGCGACAACUCCACCUACACCUGCACCGUCUACAACAAGGAGGGAAACAUCCUGCUGAAGAAACAAGUGAAACUGAAAGUCGCAGUCUGUCAGGUGGAGGUGGAGGAGGGGGCGGAGUCUGUCCAGCUGCCCUUCAAAACCACAGAAAACCUGCCCGGAGACGCUGAAAUGGAGUGGAGAGACAGUUCAAACAAGAAGGUUUGCGUGUAUCAGAACGGCUCCUACCAUCCAACAAAACAGAAGGAUUACAGAGACCGAACGAAGAUGAAUGAAGACCCUCUAAAAACUGGAGACCUCAGUCUGACCCUGAAACACCCCACAGAGAGAGACAGUGGAGGAUACAUCUGUGAAGUCUCAAAGAACGGACGGAUACGAUACAAAACAGUACAGCUCAGAGUUCAGAUCCAGGAUCAAACAGGGGACAUCACGAUACCUCUUAUGGCUCAUCAAUUCGUUUGAUCUGUGUGUUCUUUGAUUAUUGAUCAGUGAUGUCAGAGUGGAGUCAGUGUGAUGUUGUUGUUGUGUGUUUGAGACUUUUAGUGUCCAUGAAGGUCUCUGCUGCCGUAGAUCCUCUGAACUGUGACAGAGGUCUCACUCUGGAGGAAACUCUCAGCACUUUCCAGCAGCUCCUCCAUCAUGGAGGACGUUCCCUCACUGUAACAGGUGGAGGAGAGAGGAGAGGAAGCACAGGUGGAUCCUCUGAGGAAGAGGAGCGUUCCUACAAACCACAUGAUCACAUGACCAGAGGGGCGUGGCCUUCAGUGGUAGUAAUAAAGGAACAGUCCACAUGUUCCACUUUGAAGGCUCAUCUCCAACAAAGCAGACCUGUGAUCACUUUAACUCAGUAUGAUGGAUUGUUUGUCUUUGUUUCUCUGGCUUUUCUUGUGUGUCUGUGUUUAAAAAUGAGCAAAGUACUAAAACAGAGCUUUUCUCCGUUUUCCAAUUGUAAAUUGUCUUUACUCUUGUUAAGUCAAAUUGUUGAAUGUUGUUAGUUCAAACUAUCAAACGAUCAAACACAUUCUUUUGUCUGACCACCUCUCCAGCCAAUUUGGUGCUGGGGAAGGCUGACGUGAGUUUUAUGACUUUUCACAAACGAGCAACAUAUGUUUGCUGUAUAAAAGAGUGCAACAGCAUCACCUAUACACUGUAGGCCUACCAGCAAUAUAGACACAAUACACCAAAUGUUUUUCAGUAUUUCCUGUAACCUUUCCUUCUGUACAUCUCAUUUCUCGUUAUUUGUUUUAAAUCUUUGCAGCUCAGAGGGGAGUGAUUGUCAUGAUGCUGUUGGGCAAAGUACAAAUGUGAAAAAGGCAUCAACUAUUACCUGUUUAAUAAAUGAAAAUAAUAAAUGGUGUACAAAGCAAAAAGAAAAAUGUUCAUUAACUAUGAUGUCAGAGCCAAUCAUCCUGUGUUAGAUAGCUGCUUUUUAAACAUUCAUUAAAUAAGAAAAGGAUUGAACACUUCAUAUUUUAAAAAUGAUCUGCUGCCUAUAAGAGCUGAAGGAACCAUGAUGUAUGUGCUGGUCAGAAGCCAGAAGAUUUAAUGAGACAGGUA
ensembl:lncRNA